rnacentral:lncRNA from 1 species
ACACACCCUCGGAUUGACGUGCGCACGCGCACCGGUUACCUUCAGGAGCGCCGAAGAAGGAAAGAAGAUGGAGUUGAGCUCUGUCGCCCAGGCUGGAGUGCAGUGGCACCAUCUCAGCUGACUGUGACCUCCGCCUCCUGGGUUCAAGUGAUUCUCCUGCAUCAGCCUCCCGAGUAGCUGGGACUACAGGUGCACACCACCAUGCCCGGCUAAUUUUUGUAUUUUUAGUAGAGACGGGGUUUUGCCAUGAUGGCCAGGUUUGGUCUCAAACUCCUAACCUCAAGUGAUCCACCCUCCUCAGCCUCCCAAAGUGCUGGGAUUACAGGCGUGAGCCACUGCGCCCCGCCUACUUGAAUUUUUUUUUUUUUUUUUUUUUUUGAGACAGAGUUUUGCUCCUGUUGCCCAGGCUGGAGUGCAACGGCAUGAUCUCGACUCACUGCAACCUCUGCCUCCUGGGUUCAAGUGAUUCUCCUGCCUCAGCCUCCCAAAUAGCUGGGAUUACAGGUGCCCACCACUGUGCCUGGCUGAUUGUAUUUUUAGUAGAGAUGGGGUUUCAUCAUGUUGGUCAGGCUGGUCUUGAACUCCAGACCUCAGGUGAUCGGACUGCCUCGGCCUCCCAAAGUGCUGGGAUUACAGGCAUGACCCACUGUGCCCGGACCUGCUUGAAUUUUUAUGAUGAGCAUGUUGGCAGAUCACGACUGCCAGCUCCGUGACAGCAAGAACCUUGUAUGACUUUUUCAUGAUGGAUGUUCAUCUGUGCCAUCUGUAAAUAUUGAAUAAAUAUUUGUGGAAUACAUGAAUCUAAAAGUGAAUGGAAUGAUAAAGAGGGAAAGGGUCAUGACAUCUACUACAGCAUUUGGCACAGACCCAGCUGUCUGCAGUACUAUCAAGAGAUGACAUGGACUUCAAGGAUCAAACAGGGGAGAAAAAGGCUUAAAAGAAAAACAAGUCUCCAUCAAAGUCCUCCUGACAUCUUAAUCUAUCUGCCAACGCUACAUGCCGUCAAGCCAAGGAAGAAUUUCCUUCUCACUGUUGCUUCUCUGACCAAGGAAGACAUAAGCACAACCAAUCACCAGACUGAUGAAAUUCCUUCCAGUUUCAGAAAAGAUUAUCACCAAUCCCUACAUUAUAAAAUUCAUACUAAUAAAGCACAAACAUUGAAUUCUAACAUUAUAUGCUAUGUGACAAGACUACUUAAUUGUAUGUGUGUAUGUGUAAUUAUUUUCAAGUUAACCAUCUAAAUUUUACCUGUACAAGAAAGCAGUUAUUAGGCAUGUGAUAGAUGCACUGUGUUAAUUAACGUGGCCUUUCACAAGCCCUGUAGAGACAGCCC